rnacentral:rRNA from 1 species
AUACGGAGGGUGCAAACGUUGAUCGGAAUUACUGGGCGUAAAGCGCGCGUAGGCGGUUUGUUAAGUCAGAUGUGAAAGUCCACAGCUCAACUGUGGAAGUGCAUUUGAAACUGGCAGACUUGAGUACUGGAGGGGGUGGUGGAAUUCCCGGUGUAGAGGUGAAAUUCGUAGAUAUCCGGAGGAAUACCGGUGGCGAAGGCGACCACCUGGCCAGAUACUGACGCUGAGGUGCGAAAGCGUGGGGAGCAAACAGGAUUAGAAACCCUAGUAGUCC